UAGAAAAUUUCUCUUAAUCGAAACAUUAGAAUUUUUUUUUCUACCAAAUUUCCUCGUGUUUCUCCAGAAAAUUUGAGAUUGCUCAAAAUUUCAGAGUUUUGUGGCAGAAAUGUACAACUUACUACUUAAAACUUUUCGCAUGUUUGCUGUGUUAAGAGAAAGACAUCUAUGUUCAGUUUCUUUUGGCCUCGACUGAAUAAAUUUAUUUUCAGGAGUAGGAACAGGAUUUGCAUCGAAAUGCUCACUAUCCUGAGCCAAGUUUACUAAAGAAUAAAAGCUGACUUGGGUGCAGCAAAGUUGGCUUUUCAGUAAAAGUCUCUUGGUUUUAACUUUUGUUCAAAUUUGGUUAUAAAAACACAAAUACUUUGUGUUGUACUUUACAUUUUCCUGCAUAGGAAAACUAUGUUGGAAACAAUUUUUUUACAAAUUAAAGUCUCCAUUUGCAUCUACGGGCCAAAUUGGAAUUAUUUUAAUUGCAGUUGGAGGCCGCACAAAGUCAGUUCAAGGGCCACAGCUUGGAUUAAGCUGAAAACACACCAGGUCCAUUUAGGCAUCCGUUCUGCUAGAUGAUCGGGUUGUGUGAUGUGUGCAUUAAUCACAACACAUUCAUGUCAAUGGAGCCUCGCAGAUCACAAUACUUCCCUGUGACAGCUUCUCUGACUGUGCAACCAAGACAGACCUGAAAGGCUGCUGGUUCAGAGCUGUGCAGCAUUGACGGGAUUGUCACGAAUGUCACGGAUCCUCAAUUUCGGGAGUCCAAAGAGGGACUGUCGUGUCUGAAAACAACAGUUGAAAGCCAUAAGAAAUUCUGUUUGCUGUUCCCCACAAGACAUAUGUGACAGUAAACAUGGAAGAAUUUGUCCUGUCCAGGUGAGAAGUUAGUGGACCAGUUUGACCCACAGGCACAAUACUAUGUGUGUUGGAAAGUAAGUAGAAUAAUGCACAUCACUCUAAACACAAACCUCCAGCAGUAAGGUGAAAUAUGGUGCAAUAAUAAAUGAAUUCACAUUAUUCUUUUCAAAGUAAGAAAAAAAAAAAACAUUGGCUUGUUAUUGUAACUUGCCAUGUUAAACUAAAGAUCAAGGAACUCAUGACUCAUUAUUGUUUUGAUGUUUAAAAGAUGUGCUGUGCCUGUGAGCCUUUCAAAGAAAGUGUUCACUUGCUAAUACCUUUUUCUUUCAGUCGAUGCGCAACGGGAUCAAUCAUUCGUAACCAUCAUAACGUUCAAGCACCUACAUGGUUAUGGGUCCCAUCGGUCACGUCAGUAACUGAUUUAUAGAACCCACUGCUUUCCCUCGCUGACAUGUUUUGAGCUACAGGAAUAGCUCCUCGUGAGCCCGCGGGCCGCUGUGGGAAAACGAAAUCAGCGUCGCAAAGGAAAUGACAGAUGAGUUCAUGGUCUGCUUAUUGCUAACAUCUACCCCAGCGAUGAAAAAUAAUGAAAACUGAGAAAGUAAACAAAUUCAGCAGCUGAGAAAGCAUACUUAAUUUUGCAUGCAUGAGCAUUACUCCAAAUAUUAUACGGAGCUGAUCUAGUUAUCAAAACACGGAAUCAAAUUUCUUUGCGCGAUGUUGAGCUGUCUGCAUGAAGCAGGAAAUGGCCAAUUUGCUAAAGCCUGGGAAUUUGAAUAAGACAAACCAUGACAUCUCUGGUUUGGAUGAAUCUUAAUGGUGUGGACUGGAGGAAAGGCACUGACAAUGCCUCACAUCUCUGAAUAUAGCGGUACUGACUGACUUCAGUGUGUGUACUUGUGAGAUACUGGUGGAGGAAAUUUGAACUUUAUUUGUAAAAAAAAAAAGAAAAAAAAGGAACUAGGCAUCAAAUUCCAGCCUGAGUUUUUCUACAUGAAGUUUACAUGUUCUCCUUAUGCAUGAGUGGGUUCUCUCUAGGUACUCCAGCUUCCUCCCACAAACCAAAAACAUGACUGUUCGCAUAAUUGGUGUGGGUGUGCAUGGUUGUUUGCUUCUUGCUCACUGACUACUAGAGAUGGGGACCUGUGAUCCACCCUUGAAUGCAGAAGGAGGUAAGACGGGUUUGGAGGUGGCAACCUGGAGCCUGAAUCCUGGACAGGUUGUAGGUUCGAAGAUCUGAGGAGUGGGACGAUGGAACAGAGGAGAGUGAAGUCCUGGGGAUGCUUGAGCGGCAGUGGAUCGACCCAAAGAGUGGAGGGUACAAGGUUGUGCUCAUGUACCGGCACAACAACGUCAGGACUCCGCUGACGCCCGUGAUGCCCGUCCUCCUGUGCAACAGAACACGCCCGCUGCAUCAGGACAUCUUGUUGCCUGGCGUGACUGUUAGUCUGCGUGUGCAAGUCAAGAGGGGGAAGACGGGGAAGGCUGAUGCGUCGAUUACAGUCAGUUCAGCACAUGAUUGCAACAAAUUAAUGGACGAGGUGUACAGUACUGAAACUCUGGCGCUGACGACAGCAGUGGUAGGAAUGACUGGGACGCAGAGUUGGACUAUUAUUGGUUUUGUUUGCUCCAGAUUUACAGCACUGGCCAAUUUCCUGUCCCGCGUUAUCUGAUCGCCUGCGCCGGGCGAUCGGGCAGGACGUCGCUCAGCAGACCGAUCAGUAGGGGGAAAAAAAACUAGUCAUGAUGUGUGAGUGAAUUAUGAAACACAUGAAUGUCUUAUUGGUAGUUCUGUAACCGGGUGGAUGAUUGGAUAAGGAGGAAGAAAAUAGAUUUAUGCAGCUAAAUAUGGCUGCAUGGAUGAAUGACCUCACUAAGAUGUGCUCUACAUAUCCACGACUUGUAUGAAACUAUUAGUAGAGAAUAUAAACCACUCUGAUGGAGAAAUGAUGGCAGCUGUAAUUUUUUUUAAUUCUUGGCCUCUUGCAGAAACAUAAACAGCUUAAAGAGGAAAACCAACUAUAACUAUAGAAACCAGUUAUUUCCAGCUCAACUACUUUCCGGAGUGAAUUGUUAAAAACAUUUCACUCUUUUAUUAUUUCUUUAUAACUGUUACACAAAUGUGGAGACAUUGAUGCCCUAUGGCUAAAAUUGGAUAAAAAAGGACUCUUCACUUUUUAAUUUUCAAACCACCAUUCAUCCAGUGUAGAAUCAUGUCACUAAAAAUAACCGCGUUGACCUCAAUUGCUGUGAUUUUACUUAAGUUUUUUAAGUUGAUUUGCGCUCAUGACACAGAGGCCAAUUUCUUUGUUUAUUUUGCCACCAUUCACUAGCCAUGUUUCACGUUAUCAUAAAAUGUUAUUGGGUUGAUGUAAAUGUUUUGGACCAGUGAUCCGGCUCUUUGGAUAUUCAACACGGUGCUGUAAUUUUGUGAUAACUCCACAUUAUUUUCUGUUUUAGUCUUGUACUUGUAUUAUUAUUAUUGCUAUUAUCAUUGUUAUUGUUAUAAUUGGUUUUUACAAGUUUUUAUGUUAUUUUUGUGUGAACCUUUAUACCUGAUCCUGCUGUUGAAUUUCCCCUCCGCGGGACAAUAAAGGUUGUUUUUAAAUUCUGAUGUAGUGAAUUCACUCAUCCAUUGGUG